rnacentral:tRNA from 1 species
UGGCUCAGUGGGUAGAGCAUCAGCCUGCAGACUGAAGAGUACUGGGUUCAAUUCCAGU